ensembl:lncRNA
GCUUUGUACAGGUGCUGUGAGCUGCUCUGACAGCUGAUGCUUAAAGCUAGUGAGGAAAGUAAGAGUCUCCAGCUUUAGUGAUUUUUGCAGUUUGUUCCAGUCAUUGGCAGCAGAGAACUGGAAGGAGAGGCAGCCAAAGGAAGAAUUGGCUUUGGGGGUGACCAGAGAGAUAUACCUGCUGGAUCGUGCACUACAGACCUUCAAACCUGUCCCUCAGUGACCUCUCCCCUCAGUCACAGACUGGAGCACCUCACAAGCCUCGUCCAACUUCUGCUACAUACACACAUAAGAAAACAGAUGGAGAGAAACAAUUUCAAACACAUUCAAAGCGGUGACUAUCACUUUAAAGCACGUUCUGGGCACCAGUCUAAUACUGUACUUCUUGCAUAGAGUCCAGCUUGAGUCUAGAGUGCUGCUGCUCAGAAAACAGCUCUGUUUUGGCACUGUCCAGCUGUCUGUCCAACUCCACUCUCUCAAGGACAGACAUACUGACACUGGUCACUCUCUGAGACUGUGGGGGAGAAGGGAAGGGAAUCAUUUUUAGAUUGUAAUAGAGCUGGGAAAAGUACCAUGCGGGCUAUAAAAAUUGUGUUACCCUGGUCCCAUCUAUCAAGGAUGUUCUGUGUUUACAUAGAGCAGCCAGCUCCUCCUCCAGAUCCCUGACCUCCUGCAGACAGGAGUCCCUCUGCCUCUGCAGCCGAAAACUACAACACACUCAAUAAAUCACUGUGAAUUCAGCCUAUUAGUAUAGACAAUAUAGAUAUAUAGUAGGGGAAGUAGGUGUAAAGUACAGUAGGGAAACAGUAUAAGCUGUUCCUAAGAUGAUUGUUUGGACAUACUGUAUCCUUUAUCUCUGAUUCUCGGUUUUUCUAGAUAUGCAGUAGUAGGGGCAGUAACAGGGUUGAGUAUGUGUGUACCUGGUGCUUUCUGCCUCUGCUUUGAUGUCUCUUAGGCUGACCUCCAGACUCCUCCCCUCCAUCUGCUCCGCCCCCGCAUGCAGCUGCUCCAGCACGGCAUGACAGGACACAGAACACAGCGCAUCUUAUCGUUAGCUGGUGUCAGGGAUACACAGGGGACAGUUCAGUCUCACACAGCGGAGCUCUCCUCAACCUCCUCACAGUCCUACAACACAAAGACAAAUACACACUGUGACGACCCUCCCACUCUGUCUGCCGAAUUAUUUCUCUCUGCUCUUGUUUUCCUUAAUAGAAUAUCAGUGGGCAGAGCUGGGAGGGUCGUCAGCAAAAUGGGACACACCUGGGCUCGGGUGUGUCCCGGGGAUAAAUAUACCUUUCCCCCAUACAUCGAGGAGACUGUCUCCACGCAUACACACUGUUGUUUUUUGUUGUGGCAUUUUGGGACUUCUUUGUGUUUGUUUAGGCACCUCUUCACCCCUCAUUAUCACCAUCUAUGUAAACAUCCACCCACUUACACUACUGACUACAAACACCAUUGUUACUUGUACAUAGUUUACUUUAUUUUAUAAAUAUAUUUGUAUUUCUUUA